AGUACAUUCGGCAGUACACUUUAACCAUAUUUCAAGAACAAUAGAAGUACUUAUGAAAUUACAUAUAGAGACUCUAAAACCUCUAAAAUUCAGCUAAUUGCAUUUAAUAUACAUUUAAAAUAUAGUUCACACCAUUAUAAGUAAUUUUAAACAAACACACCCACACACACACAAGGUCUCUUUUCACAAUUGUCCAUGUUGCAACAUAUUUUAAAAUUCUAAAUUACCAUUUUCAUUUCAUCCUUAUUCAUUCAGACUGACAAGACUGGCUGUGGGUCUCGGGUGAUAGAUGUAACAGAAUUUGGCAUGACUUCAAGAGGAUCUUUCGAAGUGAAUAGUACAGUUGAAGAGUCUGGAACAGGUGAGGGUAUAAAACAAAUGGCUGUUUCCAUUUUUACUCUCCAAAAUAGAGUAAUGAAACAUUGGUCUUUUGUUCCUCCAGGGAUAACUAUGGUUGGUACUACCUCAGCUAUGUUUACCAGGGAUUAUGUCAAAGUUCACUAUGAAGACACACCAAAUACAUACAGGCCUGGCAUGGUCUUUAAGGGAAAGCUUGUGGUCACUAAUCCAUAUUCCAGUGUGAUGAAAAAUGAGGCAGUGGUUGUAUAUGCGCAGUAUGGGGAUAAAAGUGUCAAUGUAACACUGAUGACAGACAUCAAUGGCACUGCCCGCUUCUCAUUUGACACUUCGGACUGGUUAGAAUUACCUGUGGAAUUACAGGUUAGAAGUGAUUUUUUUAUUAUUAUUAGUUUUUUAGAUUAUGUUUAUGCACAGUUGCAAGAAAAAGUAAGUAAACUAUUUUCAGUUUCCUAGUUUUCUGCUUAAAUUGGUCAUGAAAUGUGAUCUGAUCUUCACUAAAGUCAAACACAAUAUUUCUAUAAAACACAAACAGUCAUGAUCUUUCAUGUCUUAUUGAACACACCCAUUGUGUUACAUAACAAAGUGAUGGUGGAAAAAGUAAGUGAAACUUGUUUUAAUAACUGGUUUAACCACCUUUCGCAGCAAAAACCUCAAGCAAGCACUUCCUCUAGCUGUGUAUUAGACCUGCACGUCCAGGAGUAAUUUUGGACCAUUCCUCCUUACAGAACUGCUUCAGCUCACCCAUAUUCUUGGAACGUCUGGUGUGAAUGGCUCUCUUGAGGUCAUUCCACAGCAUUUC
ensembl:lncRNA